rnacentral:rRNA from 1 species
AGGGAAUCUUCCGCAAUGGACGCAAGUCUGACGGAGCAACGCCGCGUGAGCGAUGAAGGUCUUCGGAUCGUAAAGCUCUGUUGUCAGGGAAGAAUAAGUGCCGGAGUCACUGCCGGCACCUUGACGGUACCUGACCAGAAAGCCACGGCUAACUACGUGCCAGCAGCCGCGGUAAUACGUAGGUGGCAAGCGUUGUCCGGAAUUAUUGGGCGUAAAGCGCGCGCAGGCGGUCCCUUAAGUCUGAUGUGAAAGCCCCCGGCUUAACCGGGGAGGGUCAUUGGAAACUGGGGGACUUGAGUGCAGAAGAGAAGAGCGGAAUUCCACGUGUAGCGGUGAAAUGCGUAGAGAUGUGGAGGAACACCAGUGGCGAAGGCGGCUCUUUGGUCUGUAACUGACGCUGAGGCGCGAAAGCGUGGGGAGCAAAC